CCUGGCUCAGGAUGAACGCUAGCGAUAGGCUUAACACAUGCAAGUCGAGGGGCAGCAUGGUCUUAGCUUGCUAAGACUGAUGGCGACCGGCGCACGGGUGCGUAACGCGUAUGCAACUUGCCUCACAGAGGGGGAUAACCCGUCGAAAGACGGACUAAUACCGCGUACACUCCAGUCUGGGCAUCCAGGCUAGAGGAAAUGAAUUUCGCUGUGAGAUAGGCAUGCGUCCCAUUAGCUAGUUGGUGAGGUAACGGCUCACCAAGGCGACGAUGGGUAGGGGAACUGAGAGGUUGAACCCCCACACUGGGACUGAGACACGGCCCAGACUCCUACGG
rnacentral:rRNA from 1 species